rnacentral:rRNA from 1 species
AACGAACGCUGGCGGCAUGCCUAACACAUGCAAGUCGAACGAGACCUUCGGGUCUAGUGGCGCACGGGUGCGUAACGCGUGGGAACCUGCCCUUAGGUUCGGAAUAACUCCCCGAAAGGGGUGCUAAUACCGGAUAAUGUCUUCGGACCAAAGAUUUAUCGCCUUUGGAUGGGCCCGCGUUGGAUUAGCUAGUUGGUAGGGUAAAAGCCUACCAAGGCGACGAUCCAUAGCUGGUCUGAGAGGAUGAUCAGCCACACUGGGACUGAGACACGGCCCAGACUCCUACGGGAGGGAGCCGUUGGGGAUAUUGGAAAAUGGGCGAAAGCCUGAUCCAGCAAUGGCGGGUGAGUGAUGAAGGCCUUAGGGUUGUAAAGCCCUUUUACCCCGGAUGAUAAUGACCGUACCGGGAGAAUAAGCUCCGGCUAACUCCGUG